UACACAACACUGCUUGAAAAUAGUAUUAUUUAGCUGUGAUCUUCUGUAAGGUCGAGGUACUACCCCAGUCGGGCUGCUCCAUAUUUUGAGCAGGAAAUUCCUGCUGUGCCCUACCACACCAUUAUUUUCCUUUUCCAUCAUUGAAUUCCAAAUUAUUUAUGGGUUAGAGUCUAUUAAAGAUAUAUCUAUUGUGAAUUGUAACCUAAAAGCCGUAUUUAUUAGUUGAGGUGAAAUUGACACUAACGGCCUAUUCUAUCUCCUGCUGUUAGUCUAUCCGCAACUUAUGUGCAGGAUAAACCUUAUCCACAAAUGAUGAAACAGACCCUGCAUUUCAACUUACUAUUAUACCUUCCAAUUUUACUUAAAAAUAUGCUAAGCUACGCCAAAGUAAUGCGAUUUUGAAAAAGUACGUCAACAUAUACGCUUUCAUUGUCUUCCUUUCCUUUUGGGAAAAGUUGGUAAUAACAGAAUAAAGUAAUUAUUUAAACACGUUAUAACAAUUUGAUUAAAUUUGUGGUAAUAUUAAGAGUUUUGUAUCGAAAAUUUCUAUUAUAGUAAUUACUAGCUGACCUGGCAAACUUCGUAUCGCCUUAUUUUUUUUCUUAAAUAUAAUAAUUACAUAUAUCAAAACAAAAUAUACCCUAUCUUUCAAGUUCGAUCAAACUGCACACGGUGUGCAAAUUUGAUUAAAAUCGGUUAAGUAGUUUAAGAGUUCAUCGCGGACAAAUAUUGUGACACGAGAUUUAUAUAUAUUAAGAAGAUUUAAGCAGGAAAGAACUCCGUACAUACUCUUAUUCUAAUUUGUUUUUUGAAAAAAAAAAAUUGCAAAAAUUUUAUUUAAAGACCAACAAAAGUUUUUCAUCUUUUCCAUUAGUCACCUGGAAUUUACAAAAAUAGAAAUUUUCUGAUACAAGACUGUUAAUAAAUUAUUUAACAUAGGGUGUUGAUUUUAAACCUAUGUAUAGAGGUUGUAGUGUUUUAGCCGUAUAUGAUAACUGUUGGGAAAGGCUGUAUUAUAUCACGAUGUAGCGUAUAGCACAGAAUAUUAAUAAUAAAUAUAGGUUUGUCAAACAUAAUUAUUAUUUUAUCAAGUAGGUUUAUACACAUAGUUUGUUUUAUUUUUUAUUUAAUAUUCUGUAAUUUUGAUUUUUUUUUAAUUUUAAUAUUAGUAGACAACUUUUAUCUUUGGAAGACUAAAUUAUACUAUUUUACAAAUUAUUAUUAAUAAUGAGAUUAAUCUUAUUAAUUAAAAAAUAAAAUAUAAAAACAAUUUAGAAACGAGAUUAUAUACAUACUUACAAUAAUGUAUAUUACUAAAUUUAAAUUGAUAAUUUUUAAUGUAAAAAUAAUAGAAAUAAAAAGGAUAUUUAUUAAUAUUUAGA
rnacentral:misc_RNA from 1 species